GGGUGGGUGGCUCAGUGGUUAGAGCCUAGGGCUUAGGAGCGAAAGGUCCAGGGUUCGAAUCUCGCAAGAAGCA
rnacentral:tRNA from 1 species